rnacentral:rRNA from 1 species
AUUGAACGCUGGCGGCAGGCCUAACACAUGCAAGUCGAGCGAGCGGCGGACGGGUGAGUAAUGUAUGGGGACUGCCCGAUAGAGGGGGAUAACUACUGGAAACGGUGGCUAAUCCCGCAUACUAUCGGAUAACCCAUAUGGGAUUGGCUGGUAGGAGGGGUAAAGGCUCACCUGGGCGAAGAUCUCUAGCUGGUCUGAGAGGAUGAUGAGACAAACGGGAACGGGAAAACGGCCCAGACUCCUACGGAGGCAGCGGUGGGGAAGAUUGGACAAGGGGCGAAAGCCUGAUGAGGCCAGGCGGGGUGUAGGAAAAAGGCCUUAGGGUGGUAAAGUACGUUCAGCGGGGAGGCGUUACCCACAGAAAAAGCACCGGCUAACUCCGUGCCAGCAGCCGCGGUAAUAC